GCCAGUGUGAUGUAGUGGUUUGAGCAUUGGACUAUCACUCUGGAGAUCAGGGUUCCAUUCCCUGCUUGGCCA